rnacentral:rRNA from 1 species
AGCAGCCGCGGUAAUUCCAGCUCCAAUAGCGUAUAUUAAAGUUGUUGCAGUUAAAAAGCUCGUAGUUGAACUUCGGGGUUCACCCAUUGGUCAGGCUUAAUUGUCUGUACUGGUGAGAUGAGUCUCUACCUUCUGAGGAACUUUCAUGCCAUUUAUUUGGUGUGAUGGGAAAUCAGGACUGUUACUUUGAAAAAUUAGAGUGUUUAAAGCAGGCUAACGUCUGAAUACAUUAGCAUGGAAUAAUGAAAUAGGACGGAUUGAUUCUAUUUCGUUGGUUUCUAGGGUCACCGUAAUGAUUAAUAGGGAUAGUUGGGGGCAUUAGUAUUCAAUUGUCAGAGGUGAAAUUCUUGGAUUUGUUGAAGACUAACUACUGCGAAAGCAUUUGCCAAGGAUGUUUUCAUUAAUCAAGAACGAAAGUUAGGGGAUCGAAGACGAUCAGAUACCGUCGUAGUCUUAACCAUAAACUAUGCCGACUAGGGAUCGGACGCAGUUAAUUUUAUAAUGACGUGU